CUUGCUCCACCGGAAAAAGAGGAGUGGCGAACGGGUGAGUAACAAGUGGGUAACCUGCCCAUCAGAAGGGGAUAACACUUGGAAACAGGUGCUAAUACCGUAUAACAAUCGAAACCGCAUGGUUUUGAUUUGAAAGGCGCUUUCGGGUGUCGCUGAUGGAUGGACCCGCGGUGCAUUAGCUAGUUGGUGAGGUAACGGCUCACCAAGGCCACGAUGCAUAGCCGACCUGAGAGGGUGAUCGGCCACAUUGGGACUGAGACACGGCCCAAACUCCUACGGGAGGCAGCAGUAGGGAAUCUUCGGCAAUGGACGAAAGUCUGACCGAGCAACGCCGCGUGAGUGAAGAAGGUUUUCGGAUCGUAAAACUCUGUUGUUAGAGAAGAACAAGGAUGAGAGUAACUGUUCAUCCCUUGACGGUAUCUAACCAGAAAGCCACGGCUAACUACGUGCCAGCAGCCGCGGUAAUACGUAGGUGGCAAGCGUUGUCCGGAUUUAUUGGGCGUAAAGCGAGCGCAGGCGGUUUCUUAAGUCUGAUGUGAAAGCCCCCGGCUCAACCGGGGAGGGUCAUUGGAAACUGGGAGACUUGAGUGCAGAAGAGGAGAGUGGAAUUCCAUGUGUAGCGGUGAAAUGCGUAGAUAUAUGGAGGAACACCAGUGGCGAAGGCGGCUCUCUGGUCUGUAACUGACGCUGAGGCUCGAAAGCGUGGGGAGCAAACAGGAUUAGAUACCCUGGUAGUCCACGCCGUAAACGAUGAGUGCUAAGUGUUGGAGGGUUUCC
rnacentral:rRNA from 1 species